rnacentral:rRNA from 1 species
GACGAACGCUGGCGGCGUGCUUAACACAUGCAAGUCGAACGGAAAGGCCCUGCUUUUGUGGGGUGCUCGAGUGGCGAACGGGUGAGUAACACGUGAGUAACCUGCCCUUGACUUUGGGAUAACUUCAGGAAACUGGGGCUAAUACCGGAUAGGAGCUCCUGCUGCAUGGUGGGGGUUGGAAAGUUUCGGCGGUUGGGGAUGGAUUCGCGGCUUAUCAGCUUGUUGGUGGGGUAGUGGCUUACCAAGGCUUUGACGGGUAGCCGGCCUGAGAGGGUGACCGGCCACAUUGGGACUGAGGUACGGCCCAGGCUCCUACGGGAGACAGCAGUGGGGAAUAUUGCACAAUGGGCGGAAGCCUGAUGCAGCAACGCCGCGUGCGGGAUGACGGCCUUCGGGUUGUAAACCGCUUUCGCCUGUGACGAAGCGUGAGUGACGGUAAUGGGUAAAGAAGCACCGGCUAACUACGUG